CGGUGGAGCAUGUGGUUUAAUUCGAUGCCCCCCCGAAGAACCUUACCUGGUCUUGACAUAGUAAGAACUUUCCAGAGAUGGAUUGGUGCCUUCGGGAACUUACAUACAGGUGCUGCAUGGCUGUCGUCAGCUCGUGUCGUGAGAUGUUGGGUUAAGUCCCGCAACGAGCGCAACCCUUUUCCUUAUUUGCCAGCGGGUUAAGCCGGGAACUUUAAGGAUACUGCCAGUGACAAACUGGAGGAAGGCGGGGACGACGUCAAGUCAUCAUGGCCCUUACGACCAGGGCUACACACGUGCUACAAUGGUCGGUACAAAGGGUUGCUACCUA
rnacentral:rRNA from 1 species